GCCUCAAUGGUCUAAUGGCUAUGACGCUAGCCUGUCGCGCUGGAGACUCGGGUUCGAUUCCCGGUUGGGGCG
rnacentral:tRNA from 1 species